CGGCUCAUAGAUUUAAUCUUUGUUACAAACAAGCCAGUACAUUGGUUGGAACCUCUUAUUUUUAUGCUUCAAAACUCCCCUAAACUGAAAAUUCUUACGAUCGACACCCAUGGUUCUCCCACAUGUUCGUGGAACCAGCCCAGUACUAUUCCCCAAUGCUUAUCGUCUCAUCUAGAGAUUGUUAGGUGGAAAAGAUAUCAAGGAAAAGAAGAAGAUGAGAAACAA